rnacentral:misc_RNA from 1 species
GAUGAAGAACGUAGUGAAAUGCGAUAAGUAAUGUGAAUUGCAGAAUUCAGUGAAUCAUCGAAUCUUUGAACGCACAUUGCGCCCCCUGGUAUUCCGGGGGGCAUGCCUGUCCGAGCGUCAUUCAAACCUUCAAGCUCUGCUUGGUGUUGGGCGUCUGUCCUGCCUCACGGCGCGGACUCGCCUCAAAUCUAUUGGCGGCCGGCACGUUGGCUUCGAGCGCAGCAGAAACGCGAACUCGAGACCGGCGGAUCGGCUCCCAGAAGCUACCCCCAUGAAUUUGACCUCGGAUCAGGUAGGGAUACCCGCUGAACUUAAGCAUAUCAAUAGCGGAGGA